AAGCUCUGGAGAAUCCCGUUUUGGGCGGGUGCCGAAGGUGCAAGGCGAAGGCCGAAUCUCUCAGGCAAAAGGACAGAGCAG
rnacentral:ncRNA from 1 species